CAAAAUUUUCAUAAUGUUUCAAGAUUCCACGGAAAUGAUUCAUGUAAUGGAAGUUCUACCUUCAAGUUAAAAUCAAAGCCUUACUAUUUGAGAGAGGGAAAGAAAAUAGGUAGUUUAAGUGCAAUGACCUGGUAUUAUAGGCCCAAGGGCACAAGAGAAAGACAGAAGGCCUUUAAUUAGAGGCUCCAUCUUUCCCAAAAUGAACUUAUAAAGAGAAAUCAGGAGGUGGAACAGGUCCAACUCAUAAACUCUAAGGACAAAGAAGACAUUGAAGAGAAUGAUGGUAACCAAUCAAUAUAAAUUUUAUUCAUUACAGAUUGAUAUACCAUGAUAAACUAACAAUAAUUCUCUCUAGUAUAGGACAAAAUAUGAAGGUGAUUUAUACAUGUUUUCCUUAUUCUAAGAACCAAACAUGUGGACAUCCUUAUCAGUGUCCACGUUUCUAGAAGGAUUCUCUUGGGAGGGCCCCAAAUGAAGAAAAAAAUUGGAAAAGGUCAACAGACAUGCCAUAAAAGAUCCCCACCACCACCACCACCUCCAGACAGUCCACAAUUACCUACCUCAGUUUCUCCCAUUCCAAAACUGUCUUCUUCUUCUACCCAUCAUCUACAAAGUCUCUAGCGUGCUUCCUCUCACAUCAUUACCCAUUAGUUCAACUACUCUUUUGUAGCUGUACCGCACUAUAAUAUUGCUCCACAUCAUCUGCCACCUAUGGCUUCCUAUCUGUCCCCAUAUGGGUGUAGAAGAUGCAGACCCAGUGGUGGAACAUUAAGAAUUUAAAUCUAUUAUCAACUAUAAUAUUGUUUGUAGUCUAAACCAAAAAAAAAAUAAAAAAUACCCUAUAUGCUUUUCUCCACCCAGGACUGUACAAUGAUUCAAUUUAUGUUCCUUCUCUUUCUAGCAUAUUAAAAAAUGGUUUUGAAUGGUGGAGUGAUCAGAGGGUGUAAACAGGAGGUAUAUACGCACCCCCCAGUCUUCUAGAAAUGCUCCUUGUGGAAUUCAAACUUGG